GGCUUCAUAGCUCAGUUGGUUGGAGCGUCGCACAGGUAUUGCGAGAUCAUAGGCUCAAACCCCGUUAAAGUUC
rnacentral:tRNA from 1 species